GCGGGUGUAAUUCAGUGGCAGAAUGUCACUUUUCCAAAGUGAACGUCGUCGGUUCGAAUCCGAUCACCCGCUCCC
rnacentral:tRNA from 1 species